GUCUACGUAGCUUAAACCCACCCAAAGCAAGACACUGAAAAUGCCUAGAUGGAUCCACACAUCCCAUAGACA
rnacentral:tRNA from 1 species